rnacentral:rRNA from 1 species
UACGGAGGGAGCUAGCGUUGUUCGGAAUUACUGGGCGUAAAGCGCACGUAGGCGGCGAUUCAAGUCAGAGGUGAAAGCCCGGGGCUCAACCCCGGAACUGCCUUUGAAACUAGAUUGCUAGAAUCCAGGAGAGGUGAGUGGAAUUCCGAGUGUAGAGGUGAAAUUCGUAGAUAUUCGGAAGAACACCAGUGGCGAAGGCGGCUCACUGGACUGGUAUUGACGCUGAGGUGCGAAAGCGUGGGGAGCAAACAGG